rnacentral:rRNA from 1 species
GAUGAACGCUGGCGGCGUGCCUAAUACAUGCAAGUCGAGCGAACAGACGAGGAGCUUGCUCCUCUGACGUUAGCGGCGGACGGGUGAGUAACACGUGGAUAACCUACCUAUAAGACUGGGAUAACUUCGGGAAACCGGAGCUAAUACCGGAUAAUAUAUUGAACCGCAUGGUUCAAUAGUGAAAGACGGAUUUGCUGUCACUUAUAGAUGGAUCCGCGCCGCAUUAGCUAGUUGGUAAGGUAACGGCUUACCAAGGCGACGAUGCGUAGCCGACCUGAGAGGGUGAUCGGCCACACUGGAACUGAGACACGGUCCAGACUCCUACGGGAGGCAGCAGUAGGGAAUCUUCCGCAAUGGGCGAAAGCCUGACCGAGCAACGCCGCGUGAGUGAUGAAGGUCUUCGGAUCGUAAAGCUCUGUUAUUAGGGAAGAACAAAUGUGUAAGUAACUAUGCACGUCUUGACGGUACCUAAUCAGAAAGCCACGGCUAACUACGUG